rnacentral:rRNA from 1 species
CAGCAGCUCGAGUGGUGGUCGUUUUUAUUGGGCCCAAAGCGUCCGUAGCCGGUCAGGUAAAUCUUUGGGUAAAUCGACGGGCUUAACUCGUCGAAUUCCGAAGAGACUGCCUGACUUGGGACUGGGAGAGGUCGGAGGUACUCUAGGGGUAGGGGUGAAAUCCUGUAAUCCUUAGAGGACCACCAGUGGCGAAGGCGUCCGACCAGAACGGGUCCGACGGUGAGGGACGAAGCCGUGGGUCGCGAACCGGAUUAGAUACCCGAGUAGUCC